GCAUGGACGACGAGGAGGAGACGGACCUGCUGUGGAAGAUUCGCAAGACCAUUAUGCAGUUGUGCCAUGGCUGAGGCUACCUAGUAACUCAGGGUGAACUGGACCAGACACUGGAGGAGUUCAAGGCCCAGUUUGGGGACAAUCCAAGUGAAGGGCAGCCACGGCGCACUGACCUCACAGUGCUGGUGGCCCACCACGAUGACCCCACUGACCAGAUGUUUGUCUUUUUCCCAGAGGAGCCCAAGGUGGGGAUCAAGACCGUCAAGGUGUACUGUCAACGCAUGCAGGAGGAAAACAUCACCCGAGCCCUCAUCGUGGUACAGCAGGGCAUGACACCUUCUGCCAAGCAGUCCCUGGUUGACAUGGUCCCCAAGUACAUCCUGGAGCAGUUUCUGCAGCAGGAGCUGCUCAUCAACAUCACAGAGCACGAGCUGGUCCCAGAGCAUGUCGUCAUGACCAAGGAGGAGGUGAUGGAGCUGCUGGCCAGACACAAACUCCGAGAAAACCAGCUGCCCAGGAUCCAGGCUGGAGACCCUGUGGCACGCUACUUUGGAAUAAAGCGAGGGCAGGUAGUGAAGAUCAUCCGGCCCAGCGAAACCGCAGGCAGGUACAUCACCUACCGGCUGGUACAGUAGCCACCCUACCACCUGGCAGCCCCCUGGGAGACAGACUAAUGGACUGUGACCACCUUACCCAGGCAGUUGGCCUGCCUAUGGCCUGCCCUACAGGAAUCUCAACCCUGGAAACCCACCUGCUGCUCCUGUGGAACCCAAAGCAGGCUGCAUGUUUGCUUUCCCUGGGCUGAAGGUCCUUGUGGCCUCACCUGGACAUUGAGCCCCACCUGGGGUUCCAUGUAAUGGUUCCUUA